GCUUGAUAACGAAGUCUCUGCAGAGGCAGCCAGAGAAUCGGCCUGCGGCUGGAGUCAGGCGCAGCGAGUAUGACGCUAACACGGCCGGAAAGGGUUCGUCUGUGUCAGACCCCACCCCACACCUCAUCUCUCACUGCUGUCCUGAGAGCCAGCAUGCUCAGAACAGUUUCGAGGCCCCCAGGGCGCCUGCGUCGGCGCGGUCUCCACGUGGAGUUCCCUGGCGGCCGCUCUAGACCAUAACGGCUGCGUUGGAACCUCGCGAGAAGAAAUGAGGGUCACCACCGAGGAAACAUAGCCCAUCAGGCAGGUGCUGCCUCCGGAACUCUGAAGCCGGAAGAUCCGGAACUAAGGGCACCAACUGCAGGAUCACACCCCUCUGGCCUUGUGGUCAAGUCAGUGUAGGGCAUGGUCCGGUUUGGACCAUAAGUUCUUCUUGUUCGAGUUUCAGUUUUGUACGUUUCUCUUGUUUGUUCCCCAACACAGUGCUACAGGAGGGUUUUUUUUGGUUUUUUGUUUGUUUGUUUGUUUGUUUUGGGUUUUUUUGGCGCUGAGGAAACAGACUUUGAAAGAGUUAAUGGUAAGAACAAGGUCACAUAAGAAAAGGAACACAUUUAUUCUUUCAUAUCUCUAUUGUGUCUUAGUGAAAAAUGCCACGAAAUCGUCUGUGGACAAGAGAGGAAACAAGAAUGUUGGGGGCGAUACAACAAGUAAUGACUGGCAUACUUCUUCACUGCCUGGGACUGCUCUGGAUGUAUUUGUCACUCACACAAACUACUGCAUUUGGAGCCACAUAUAUUCCUCUUGCAUUACUAACGGCAUAUCCAUUUUGGUCAUCCUUGCUUUUUAUCUUCACGGGAGCAUUUACAGUAUCAUUAGAAAAGAUACGUUCACCAUUCUUGGUGUCUUAUACUUUAGUAGCAAACAUCAAAAGUGGCAAACUCCUUUCGGAAUAUCUGUUCAUAUUAACCAUCUUGGAGUUGUUUGUGGCAAGUAUAGUCAGCCACUGGGCAUCCCAAGCAAAAAAGAGAAGAAGAUAAAGAUGCAGUUCAUGGCAGAAGGAGAUCCUUUCUCUGCAUAUUAAAGAAACCAUCGGUGAGCUCAGUCAAGGAGGAAAGUUUAGUGGCAAAUGAAGAACUUCAUUCUGUUCAAGAGGCUUCUUGGAAAAUGUAAUUUCAUUAAAUCCAUCUCAGUAUUCUCUUCCCCC
rnacentral:lncRNA from 1 species